rnacentral:pre_miRNA from 1 species
AACCUUCUGUAUCCGUGCUGAGAAAUCAACACACACCAGACCACAAGGGCUGAUGAGACUCCCAAGAUAAAUGUACUA